UGCGUAGGUGGCAAGCGUUGUCCGGAUUUACUGGGCGUAAAGGGCGUGCAGGCGGUUUGUUAAGUGCAGGGUGAAAGCUCCCGGCUCAACUGGGAGAGGUCCUUGCAUACUGGCGAACUCGAGGGAGGCAGAGGAAAGUGGAAUUCCCGGUGUAGUGGUGAUAUGCGUAGAUAUCGGGAGGAACACCUGUGGCGAAGGCGGCUUUCUGGGCCUUACCUGACGCUGAGACGCGAAAGCGUGGGGAGCGAACCGG
rnacentral:rRNA from 1 species